rnacentral:rRNA from 1 species
GUCUUUUUGUUUAUAAUAUAAAGUCUAACCUGCCCACUGAAUUUUUAAGGGCCGCAGUAUUUUGACUGUGCGAAGGUAGCAUAAUAAUUAGUUUUUUAAUUGAAAGCUGGUAUGAAUGGUUGAACGAGGAAAUAACUGUCUCUAUAUUAAUUUAUUAGAAUUUUAUUUUUAAGUUAAAAAGCUUAAAUGAUUUUAAAAGACGAGAAGACCCUAUAGAGUUUAAUAAAAUUUAUGAUUAGAGAUUGUUAGGAUUUUUUUUGUUUAAUUAUAGGUUUUAUUUUAUUGGGGUGAUAGAAAAAUUUAGAUAACUUUUUUUUUAUUUAAACAUUGAUUUAUGAAUUAAUGAUCCAUUUUUUAUGAUUAUAAGAUUAAAUUACCUUAGGGAUAACAGCGUAAUUUUUUUUAAGAGUUCUUAUCGAAAAAAAAGAUUGCGACCUCGAUGUUGGAUUAAAAUUUAUAUUUGGUGUAGAAGCUAAAUAAUUAGGUCUGUUCGACCUUUGAAAUUUU